rnacentral:tRNA from 3 species
GCGGAUAUAGUUUAGUGGUAGAAUGUGACCUUCCCAAGGUUGAGAUGCGGGUUCGAUUCCCGCUAUCCGCACCA